AAAUUGAAGAGUUUGAUCAUGGCUCAGAUUGAACGCUGGCGGCAGGCCUAACACAUGCAAGUCGAGCGGAAACGAGUUAUCUGAACCUUCGGGGAACGAUAACGGCGUCGAGCGGCGGACGGGUGAGUAAUGCCUAGGAAAUUGCCCUGAUGUGGGGGAUAACCAUUGGAAACGAUGGCUAAUACCGCAUGAUGCCUACGGGCCAAAGAGGGGGACCUUCGGGCCUCUCGCGUCAGGAUAUGCCUAGGUGGGAUUAGCUAGUUGGUGAGGUAAGGGCUCACCAAGGCGACGAUCCCUAGCUGGUCUGAGAGGAUGAUCAGCCACACUGGAACUGAGACACGGUCCAGACUCCUACGGGAGGCAGCAGUGGGGAAUAUUGCACAAUGGGCGCAAGCCUGA
rnacentral:rRNA from 1 species